GACGUAGGGCGCGAGCGUUGUCCGGAUUUAUUGGGCGUAAAGAGCUCGUAGGCGGCUUGUCGCGUCGACUGUGAAAUCCCCGCGGCUCAACUGCGGGUCUGCAGUCGAUACGGGCAGGCUAGAGUUCGGUAGGGGGAGACUGGAAAUUCCUGGGUGUAGCGGUGAAAUGCGCAGAUAUCAGGAGGAACACCGAUGGCGAAGGCAGGUCUCUGGGCCGAUACUGACGCUGAGGAGCGAAAGCGUGGGAGCGAACAGG
rnacentral:rRNA from 1 species